rnacentral:tRNA from 1 species
GGGUACUUCGAGGAGGCUUUCUCUUUCUUGUCGCUCAUGGGUGACUCAAGUGAAUUCGGUGAGACGUGCGUCCGGGACGCGCGGUGUGUC